GGGGGGGUGCUUACCUGCAGUCGAACGGUGAAGCAGAGCUUGCUCUGUGGAUCAGUGGCGAACGGGUGAGUAACACGUGAGCAACCUGCCCCUGACUCUGGGAUAAGCGCUGGAAACGGCGUCUAAUACUGGAUAUGAGCUGCGAUCGCAUGGUCAGCAGUUGGAAAGAUUUUUCGGUCUGGGAUGGGCUCACGGCCUAUCAGCUUGUUGGUGAGGUAAUGGCUCACCAAGGCGUCGACGGGUAGCCGGCCUGAGAGGGUGACCGGCCACACUGGGACUGAGACACGGCCCAGACUCCUACGGGAGGCAGCAGUGGGGAAUAUUGCACAAUGGGCGAAAGCCUGAUGCAGCAACGCCGCGUGAGGGAUGACGGCCUUCGGGUUGUAAACCUCUUUUAGCAGGGAAGAAGCGAAAGUGACGGUACCUGCAGAAAAAGCGCCGGCUAACUACGUGCCAGCAGCCGCGGUAAUACGUAGGGCGCAAGCGUUAUCCGGAAUCAUUGGGCGUAAAGAGCUCGUAGGCGGUUUGUCGCGUCUGCUGUGAAAUCCCGAGGCUCAACCUCGGGUCUGCAGUGGGUACGGGCAGACUAGAGUGCGGUAGGGGAGAUUGGAAUUCCUGGUGUAGCGGUGGAAUGCGCAGAUAUCAGGAGGAACACCGAUGGCGAAGGCAGAUCUCUGGGCCGUUACUGACGCUGAGGAGCGAAAGGGUGGGGAGCAAACAGGCUUAGAUACCCUGGUAGUCCACCCCGUAAACGUUGGGAACUAGUUGUGGGGUCCAUUCCACGGAUUCCGUGACGCAGCUAACGCAUUAAGUUCCCCGCCUGGGGAGUACGGCCGCAAGGCUAAAACUCAAAGGAAUUGACGGGGACCCGCACAAGCGGCGGAGCAUGCGGAUUAAUUCGAUGCAACGCGAAGAACCUUACCAAGGCUUGACAUAUACGAGAACGGGCCAAAAUGGUCACUCUUUGGACCUCGUAACAGGUGGGCAUGGUUGCGUCAGCUCGGGCCUGAAA
rnacentral:rRNA from 1 species